rnacentral:rRNA from 1 species
UACGUAGGGUGCAAGCGUUGUCCGGAAUUAUUGGGCGUAAAGAGCUCGUAGGUGGCCUGUCGCGUCGGGCUGUGAAAACUCGGGGCUCAACUCCGAGCUUGCAGUCGAUACGGGCAGGCUAGAGUUCGGCAGGGGAGACUGGAAUUCCUGGUGUAGCGGUGAAAUGCGCAGAUAUCAGGAGGAACACCGGUGGCGAAGGCGGUUAGCUGGGCAGUUGCUGACACUGAGGCGCGACAGCGUGGGGAGCAAACAGG